rnacentral:rRNA from 1 species
GUAUGUACGUUGAAUUCUGACCGUAAGGACAGGUGGAGCGCAUACAAGUGAGAAUGCCGGUAUAAGUAACGAAAAGAUCAGUGAGAAUCUGAUCCGCCGAAAACCUAAGGGUUCCUGAGGAAGGCUCGUCCGCUCAGGGUAAGUCGGGACCUAAGGCGAGGCCGAAAGGCGUAGUCGAUGGACAACAGGUGGAAAUUCCUGUACCACCGUAGCCGUUAUGAGCAAUGGAGUGACGCAGAAGGAUAGUGACGCGAGCUGAUGGAUGCUCGUCCAAGCAGUGAGGCUGAUGUGUAGGCAAAUCCGCACAUCGUAAGGCUGGGCUGUGAUGGGGAGGGAAACUUUAAGUACCGAAGGUCAUGAGUUCACACUGCCAAGAAAAGCUUCUAGCCAGGCGAAGGUGCCCGUACCGCAAACCGACACAGGUGGGUGAGAAGAGAAUUCUAAGGCGCGCGGAAGAACUCUCGUUAAGGAACUCGGCAAAAUGACCCCGUAACUUCGGGAGAAGGGGUGCCUCGGUAGGGUGAAUAGCCCGAGGGGGCCGCAGUGAAAAGGCCCAAGCGACUGUUUAGCAAAAACACAGGUCUGUGCGAAGCCGCAAGGCGAAGUAUACGGGCUGACGCCUGCCCGGUGCUGGAAGGUUAAGAGGAGUGGUUAGGGGCAACCCGAAGCUAUGAAUUGAAGCCCCAGUAAACGGCGGCCGUAACUAUAACGGUCCUAAGGUAGCGAAAUUCCUUGUCAGGUAAAUUCUGACCCGCACGAAUGGCGUAACGACUUGGGCGCUGUCUCAACGAGAGAUCCGGUGAAAUUUUAAUACCUGUGAAGAUGCAGGUUACCCGCGACAAGACGGAAAGACCCCAUGGAGCUUUACUGCAGCUUGAUAUUGGACUUUGGUACGAUCUGUACAGGAUAGGUGGGAGCCUUUGAAGCCUGAGCGCCAGCUUGGGUGGAGGCAUCGUUGGGAUACCACCCUGAUCGUAUCGGAGUUCUAACCUGGUACCGUGAUCCGGUAUGGGGACAGUGUCAGGUGGGCAGUUUGACUGGGGCGGUCGCCUCCUAAAAUGUAACGGAGGCGUUUAAAGGUUCCCUCAGAAUGGUUGGAAAUCAUUCGCAGAGUGCAAAGGCAUAAGGGAGCUUGACUGCGAGACCUACAAGUCGAGCAGGGACGAAAGUCGGACUUAGUGAUCCGGUGGUACCGAAUGGAAGGGCCAUCGCUCAACGGAUAAAAGCUACCCUGGGGAUAACAGGCUUAUCUCCCCCAAGAGUCCACAUCGACGGGGAGGUUUGGCACCUCGAUGUCGGCUCAUCGCAUCCUGGGGCUGAAGUAGGUCCCAAGGGUUGGGCUGUUCGCCCAUUAAAGCGGUACGCGAGCUGGGUUCAGAACGUCGUGAGACAGUUCGGUCCCUAUCUGUCGCGGGCGUAGGAAAUUUGAGAGGAGCUGUCCUUAGUACGAGAGGACCGGGAUGGACGUACCGCUGGUGUACCAGUUGUCUCGCCAGAGGCAUCGCUGGGUAGCUAUGUACGGAGGGGAUAAGCGCUGAAAGCAUCUAAGCGCGAAGCCCCCCUCAAGAUGAGAUUUCCCAGUAUGUAAGACCCCUUGUAGACGACGAGGUUGAUAGGUUCGAGGUGGAAGUGCAGCAAUGCAUGCAGCUGACGAAUACUAAUCGGUCGAG